GAAACAAAACAAAUAUUCAAUCACAUUUUGUUUCAUUUUUAUAGUUGUUUAAUUAAUUGAUGAGUGCUUUUACUCCCUAUUAUCUUGAAUUUUUGACCAUAUGCAUUUAAUGAUAAUUUGGCAUCAGCGAGAGAUUCGAAGGCAUGAUUCGAGCGACAGUUGCAGCGAAAGAGGCAGUUACUCUCUUUAAGCUUGAUCAGUAGAUCGUGGGUUCAUGGGCUUGAAAAGCUGGCGAAGCACGUUUGCACAAGCAGUUGUGUAUUCUUGUGCCUAUAAAUAGUAGUUCCUUUAGUUGGAAUAAGGGUCACAAUUCAUAUACAAAAUUCACAAACCUAAAGUAUCCAUGCGUUCGAGAGAAAAUGGUGAAGUGAAGAACAUGUAUGAAUUCGUGAACCAUUUACUUUCUUUGUAAAACUUUUACAUUUUUAUGCAAUUUUAAUAUUUCUUUUG